UGCUUCAAUCUUAUCCACUUGACGUGUACGUGGUGGGGACCGGCGACGGCUUGGCUCUCUGGGAGUACAGAUCGAUGGAACUGGACCUAAGCGGCUAAGCCUAGCUAACCCGGAGUACUCAUGACGGCGCUUCUUCUUCCUACCAACAAUUGUGGCUUCUACAAUUUGGUUCGGGCCCUCUCUUUUUUGAUAUGGUCCAUUCUCGUCGUAAAUAUUCAAAUACGAUUAUGUCUUUUUGAAAUGUUUCCCACAAAAGUUUGAAAAUGUAGAUAGAUGACAACAAAAAAUGAGAAAAAACUCAUUGCUCAACGUAAUUUUACACUUUUCUGCAUAGUUACGUACGUACAAAUUAAAUUAAGUACGUAUAAUAAACUAGUAACCUAAUUUCCUAAAACCCCCAUGCAGAUAGAUUUGGAUGGCUCGAAACAAAGCCAUGUUAGCCGGAUCUAGCUACCCCCAACUCUCAUAAUUUAGCCAUCAAACAUCUGAUCUCUGAUCUCUCUAACAAGACUCCACUAUAAAAGCCUUAGAUUUAAUUCCUCUUUCUUCACAGGAGGAAGAUAAAACUCUUUCUCAGCACCCUUCCUGGUCGCAUCUUCUCUCUUCGUUUCGUUCCCUCAAUAUCUCUCUUCGUAUAUAUACUUAAUUAUUUUGUGUAGGCAAAUCCAAAGCCAUACACGUACGGCCUUUUUUUGGUUGUUACACAGAAGAAGUACUCAUGGGUUUCCUUCACAAGCUUUGGGACGAAACACUUGCCGGUCCGGCACCCGACACCGGCCUUGGCAAACUGCGAAAGUAUGAUUCAUUUUCAGCCAAACGAUCGCCUUCUAUGGUAGCCAAUGAGGUGCCGAUAACUCGGAGCAUUACCAUUCUCAGGACUAAGUCCACUUUUAGAAACCUUUUGGUUGAUCCCGGUUCGGCCUCAGAGUCUCCAGCCGUGCCAGGUACCCCUGGGACACCACUCACACGAUCGUGAUCAGUGCUUUGGAUCGUUGAGAGAGCAAGUGAAGAUCUUGUUUCAAAUAUCAGUAGUAAUAAGUUGUAAUUUGUACAUAUUGGUUAGCUCUUAAGCAUCUGCAUGUAAAUAUAACCACUCAGUCCAUACUUGUACGUACUCGUGAAAAUAAUAUAAUGGUUCCGGUAACGAAUGGUCGUCGUAUGAGGAACCAAUGCUUUGAUUACCAAGGAAGACGCAGCUGGAUAGCUGGCUUUCGAAGUUGCCUGAAUCUGAUUUUUCUGGGUAUCUCGGGUGAUAGAAAUUUGGAGUGUUAAUAUUCUUUGUUUGUUUUCUUUCUUUCAUUUUUGGUCUUCCUGAACAUGUACUGUCUCUGUGUGUGUAUAUAUAUAUGGACUAUGAUUUUCCAGGCUCCA